rnacentral:rRNA from 1 species
UACGUAGGGUGCGAGCGUUAAUCGGAAUUACUGGGCGUAAAGCGUGCGCAGGCGGUUCGUUGUGUCGGUGGUGAAAUCCCCGGGCUUAACCAAGGAAGUGCAUCCGAAACUGCAGUGCUUGAGUACUUAAGAGGAUCGCGGAAUUCCCGGUGUAGAGGUGAAAUUCGUAGAUAUCGGGAGGAACACCAGUGGCGAAGGCGGCGAUCUGGGAAGAUACUGACGCUGAGGUGCGAAAGCGUGGGGAGCAAACAGG